AUGCCAACAUGGAAGCAGUCAAAGAUUCCUGACCUUGUACAUGAAGAUGAUGGUAUUGAUGAUGAACGUCUCCGGAAAGAGGUUUCUCCAUUUGGUACAAUCACUAGUGCAAAGGUUCUGAUGGAGGGUGGUCGCAGCAAAGGGUUUGGUUUUGGAUGUUUCUCCUCCCCAGAAGAAGCCACUAAAGCAGUUACAGAACUGAACGGUAGAAUUGUGGCCACGAAGCCAUUGUAUGUAGCUUUAGCUCAGCGCAAAGAAGAGCGCCAGGCUCACCUCACUAACCAGUAUAUGCAGAGAAUGGCAAGUGUACGAGCUGUGCCCAACCCUGUAAUCAACCCCUACCAGCCAGCCCCUCCUUCAGGUUACUUCAUGGCAGCUAUCCCACAGACUCAGAACGGUGCUGCAUACUCUCCUCCUAGCCAAAUUGCUCAACUAAGACCAAGUCCUCGCUGGACUGCUCAGGGUGCCAGACCUCAUCCAUUCCAAAAUAUGCCCGGUGCUGUCUGCCCAGCUGCUCCUAGACCACCAUUUAGUACUAUGAGACCAGCUUCUUCACAGGUUCCAAGAGUCAUGUCAACACAGCGUGUUGCUAACACAUCUACACAGACAAUGGGUCCACAUCCUGCAGCUGCAGCUGCUGCAGCUACUCCUGCUGUCCACACCAUUCCACUGUAUAAAUAUGCUGCAGGAGUUCGCAAUCCUCAGCAACAUCUUAAUGCAUAGCCACAAGUUACAAUGCAACAGCCUGCUGUUC